GGUGAGGGCAGGGUUUGCAAUGGGUCACAAUGGGCUCUCCACUCAUCUAUCCCCAUAGGACAUCCAGCCCCUACUGCCCCCAAAACAAAGUCCGUCUGAUAGUGCAGGCAGUUAUAGUGGAUACCAGCAUUCUUACAACAUGAGCCCAGAGAGUUCAAACAGUUUCCAAGAAGCCUCACAACCAUUUUGAUAUCCUCACCUCUGGAUAAGACAAGAAUACUUUGUGGUGGAAAAGAGCUCUCCCUUCAUAGGAAUGAUUGCUACUGGAGGAGAAUCGUGAGAAGAACAUGGCGAGGUAGGGCAAUCCCAGCAGAACAAGAGCACAAGUGUGUAACAUUGAAAGCUUAUCAGGAGCAUCAAGUCUGACUGUGAAGGUUGUUAGCUAUUCCCAAUUGUCAGAAACACUCAAAAAGCAAGAGCAUACUAUGCUUUGUCAUUUUUCUUCAGGGAUUUUGCAUAGAGCUAUGUUCAUUGGGAAUAACCCUCUGCAAUAAUACAAUUAAAUUUCUUGGUUCCAUUAAAGCCAACUGAUCAAUAUUAGUGCAAUUUGAUAAUCUGAGACAUCACACCGACAGGAUGAUAUGUGUUUAGCAGACAGAUUCUUUGUUGUAUCUAUAAUCCCCCCUAGAAUUCAGAGAUUGGAGUGUGCUUUUUAUCAGUGAACAAAGAUUGUCUUACAGGCUAGUCUUUCACUACCAGCACGGAGAGAAGUAUGUCUGUGGGUUCGUAUAUCAAAGGCAUUAGAGACAAUCCACAGGACAGGGUAAUCCCAUAUUGUGGAAACAUUAACCUUUCAAUUCAGAAGAAAGCAGAAAUAUCUUCCCUCUAGAAAACUGAAAGAAAUUAUCAUACGGACUGCAGAAAGUUGUU
rnacentral:lncRNA from 1 species